rnacentral:rRNA from 1 species
CAUGCAGUCGAGCGGGGAAGGUAGCUUGCUACUGGACCUAGCGGCGGACGGGUGAGUAAUACUUAGGAAUCUGCCUAUUAGUGGGGGACAACGUUCCGAAAGGAGCGCUAAUACCGCAUACGCCCUACGGGGGAAAGCAGGGGAUCUUCGGACCUUGCGCUAAUAGAUGAGCCUAAGUCGGAUUAGCUAGUUGGUAGGGUAAAGGCCUACCAAGGCGACGAUCUGUAGCGGGUCUGAGAGGGUGAACGGCCACACUGGAACUGAGACACGGUCCAGACUCCUACGGGAGGCAGCAGUGGGGAAUAUUGCACAAUGGAGGAUACUCUGAUGCAGCGACGCCGCGUGAAUGAUGAAGGCCUUCGGGUUGUAAGUUCUGUCCUUGGGGAAGAUAAUGACGGUACCCAAGGAGGAGCCCCGGCUAACUACGUGCCAGCAGCCGCGGUAAUACGU